rnacentral:tRNA from 1 species
GACACUUUGGCCGAGUGGUUAAGGCGCAGGCCUGCUAAGUCUACAACAGGGUUCGAAUCCCAGAGGUGUCG